rnacentral:lncRNA from 1 species
CAUGGGCACCAAGGCGCUCGAGGAGAUCGGCGCCGGCGACCAGGGCAUCAUGUUCGGCUACGCCACCGACGAGUCCGAGGCGUACGCCGAGUACAAGGGCAAGUUCAUGCCCAUGACGCUCAUGCUCGCCAACGCCAUCGGCUACCGCCUCACCGAGGUUCGCAAGAACGGCACCUGCCCGUGGGUCCGACCCGACGGCAAGACCCAGGUUACCAUCGAGUACAAGAACGAGGGCGGCGCCAUGCGCCCCCAGCGCGUGCACACCGUGCUCAUCUCCACCCAGCACGACGAGACGGUGACCAACGAGAAGAUCGCCGAGGAUCUCAUGACCGAGGUCAUCAAGAAGGUGAUCCCCGCCGAUCUCCUCGACGCUAACACCAUCUUCCACCUCAACCCCUCCGGCCGCUUCACCAUCGGCGGCCCCGACGGCGACGCGGGUCUCACCGGCCGCAAGAUCAUCAUCGACACCUACGGCGGCUGGGGCGCGCACGGCGGCGG